rnacentral:rRNA from 1 species
GACGAACGCUGGCGGCGUGCUUAACACAUGCAAGUCGAACGCUGAAGCUCAGCUUUUGUUGGGUGGAUGAGUGGCGAACGGGUGAGUAACACGUGAGUAACCUGCCCCCUUCUUUGGGAUAACGCCCGGAAACGGGUGCUAAUACUGGAUAUUCACUGGUCUUCGCAUGGGGGUUGGUGGAAAGGGUUUUUCUGGUGGGGGAUGGGCUCGCGGGCUAUCAGCUUGUUGGUGGGGUGAUGGCCUACCAAGGCUUUGACGGGUAGCCGGCCUGAGAGGGUGACCGGGCAAAUGGGAACUGAGAUACGGCCCAGACUGCUACGGGAGGGAGGAGUGGGGAAUAUUGCACAAUGGGCGCAAGCCUGAUGCAGCGACGCCGCGUGAGGGAUGGAGGCCUGCGGGUUGUGAACCUCUUUCGCUAAUGGUCAAGCCGCAACAAUGGUUGUGGUGAGGGUAGUGGGUAAAGAAGCGCCGGCUAACUACGUG